GAUGAACGCUGGCGGCGUGCUUAACACAUGCAAGUCGAACGGUGAAGGAGAGCUUGCUCUCCGGAUCAGUGGCGAACGGGUGAGUAACACGUGAGCAAUCUGCCCCUGACUCUGGGAUAACAGUUGGAAACAGCUGCUAAUACUGGAUAUGAGACGUGAAGGCAUCUUCGACGUCUUGAAAGAAUUUCGGUCAGGGAUGAGCUCGCGGCCUAUCAGCUUGUUGGUGAGGUAACGGCUCACCAAGGCGUCGACGGGUAGCCGGCCUGAGAGGGCGACCGGCCACACUGGGACUGAGACACGGCCCAGACUCCUACGGGAGGCAGCAGUGGGGAAUAUUGCACAAUGGGCGCAAGCCUGAUGCAGCGACGCCGCGUGAGGGAUGACGGCCUUCGGGUUGUAAACCUCUUUCAGCAGGGAAGAAGCGCAAGUGACGGUACCUGCAGAAGAAGCACCGGCUAACUACGUGCCAGCAGCCGCGGUAAUACGUAGGGUGCGAGCGUUGUCCGGAAUUAUUGGGCGUAAAGAGCUUGUAGGCGGUUUGUCGCGUCUGCUGUGAAAAUCCGGGGCUCAACCCCGGACUUGCAGUGGGUACGGGCAGGCUAGAGUGUGGUAGGGGAGACUGGAAUUCCUGGUGUAGCGGUGAAAUGCGCAGAUAUCAGGAGGAACACCGAUGGCGAAGGCAGGUCUCUGGGCCACUACUGACGCUGAGAAGCGAAAGCAUGGGGAGCGAACAGGAUUAGAUACCCUGGUAGUCCACGCCGUAAACGAUGAGUGCUAAGUGUUAGAGGGUUUCCGCCCUUUAGUGCUGCAGCUAACGCAUUAAGCACUCCGCCUGGGGAGUACGGCCGCAAGGCUGAA
rnacentral:rRNA from 1 species